rnacentral:rRNA from 1 species
GAUGAACGCUGGCGGCGUGCCUAAUACAUGCAAGUCGAGCGAACAGACGAGGAGCUUGCUCCUCUGACGUUAGCGGCGGACGGGUGAGUAACACGUGGAUAACCUACCUAUAAGACUGGGAUAACUUCGGGAAACCGGAGCUAAUACCGGAUAAUAUAUUGAACCGCAUGGUUCAAUAGUGAAAGACGGUCUUGCUGUCACUUAUAGAUGGAUCCGCGCCGCAUUAGCUAGUUGGUAAGGUAACGGCUUACCAAGGCAACGAUGCGUAGCCGACCUGAGAGGGUGAUCGGCCACACUGGAACUGAGACACGGUCCAGACUCCUACGGGAGGCAGCAGUAGGGAAUCUUCCGCAAUGGGCGAAAGCUUGACGGAGCAACGCCGCGUGAGUGAUGAAGGUCUUCGGAUCGUAAAACUCUGUUAUUAGGGAAGAACAAAUGUGUAAGUAACUAUGCACGUCUUGACGGUACCUAAUCAGAAAGCCACGGCUAACUACGUG